rnacentral:sRNA from 1 species
CCCGGGGCAGCACGGGGCGGUGGGCUACCUGGUGCAGCACACUCUAGAGCACAUUGAGCGCAAAAAGGAGGAGGUGGGCGUAGAGGUGAAGCUGCGCUCCGAUGAGAAGCACAGAGAUGUCUGCUACUCCAUCGGGCUCAUUAUGAAGCAUAAGAGGUAUGGCUAUAACUGUGUGAUCUACGGCUGGGACCCCACCUGCAUGAUGGGACACGAGUGGAUCCGGAACAUGAACGUCCACAGCCUGCCGCACGGCCACCACCAGCCUUUCUAUAACGUGCUGGUGGAGGACGGCUCCUGUCGAUACGCAGCCCAAGAUCGCUUGCCCUGUCUCAGUGUGAUGGGGACGGUGUAAGGGGUUUCUGUGCUC